AUGAGCAACCGAACCAGUAUCAAAUACCCAGGCGCUACUAUGAGUACUACUAAGGAACACAUCAAUAACAUGUAUAUCAAAUAUACCUUUGUUCACUUUGCCAUCCUUCUUAUCCGCCAAGUAUUUGUGGCAGUUCCGCUUCUAGUGACCAUUCCCAUUACAGUAGAAGCAUUUGGUUUCAGGCUUAGGUCUAGCUUUGGGCUUCUUCAUAGGAGUGGCAACUUGCUUGCCAUUUUUCUUGAAGUUCCCUUUCUUUCCCUUGCCCUUUUCUUGAAACUAGUGGUCUUGUUAACCAUCAACACUGAUGCUCUUUCUUGGUUUCUACCUCCGCCGAUUUCAGCAUCGUGA
rnacentral:rRNA from 1 species